UAGAGUUUGAUCUUGGUUCAGAUUGAACGCUGGCGGCAGGCCUAACACAUGCAAGUCGAACGGUAACAGGAAACAGCUUGCUGUUUCGCUGACGAGUGGCGGACGGGUGAGUAAUGUCUGGGAAACUGCCUGAUGGAGGGGGAUAACUACUGGAAACGGUAGCUAAUACCGCAUAACGUCGCAAGACCAAAGAGGGGGACCUUCGGGCCUCUUGCCAUCGGAUGUGCCCAGAUGGGAUUAGCUAGUAGGUGGGGUAACGGCUCACCUAGGCGACGAUCCCUAGCUGGUCUGAGAGGAUGACCAGCCACACUGGAACUGAGACACGGUCCAGACUCCUACGGGAGGCAGCAGUGGGGAAUAUUGCACAAUGGGCGCAAGCCUGAUGCAGCCAUGCCGCGUGUAUGAAGAAGGCCUUCGGGUUGUAAAGUACUUUCAGCGGGGAGGAAGGGAGUAAAGUUAAUACCUUUGCUCAUUG
rnacentral:rRNA from 1 species